GGAUAAGUUGGUAUGGAAACAUGGAAAGGUGUAAAAGAAAAAAUGCUCUCUCAGUUCAAAUUGGAAUGAAGCGAUAGGCUAUGCGAGUUUUGUCAGAAAUAUGGUCACAUUGCGGAGGAGUGUAAGAAGAGAAAAAUACAUCAACCUACACUUAAAGUAACAGAGAACAAUGGGCAAAUAGAGAAGACAACAAUGAAAUUAGCAGAGAUGAAAAUGGGAAGACUUCUCUGGAAGCACCACAGAGGGACAAAGCUAAACAGGUAUGGACAACACCAAAAAACACAAGUAGACUGUAGCUAAGGAAGAAUCAUCAGGAAGAGGCACUUCAUCAUGACGUAGUCCAGUAACCAAUCUGCCGCCAACUCUAGUCAUAUUUUACUCUCCAAACUUGAGUACCAAUUUAUUUUCAAGAACCUAUAGAAGUCAUAAUGAAAAUGUCUUAGAGAAAUUUCUUUCGGCCAAGAGUCAAAAUCAAUAAUUGUAAGCUACUAUCUGAAGUUGUCUGAAUGGCCAAAUAAAUACACCUUCUACUCUGAUUUAAGCA